rnacentral:rRNA from 1 species
AUUGAACGCUGGCGGCAGGCCUAACACAUGCAAGUCGAACGAGAGGCGGACGGGUGAGUAAUGUAUGGGGAACUGUCCGUGAGAGAGGGAUAUCUACUGGAAACGGUAGCUCAAACCGCGUAUUAUCGGAUGUAAGCAUAUGGGAUUAGUGAGUUGGUGAGGUAAUGGAUCACCAGGGCGACGAUCCCUAGCGGGUCGUAGAGGAUGAUCAGCCACACUGGGACUGAGACACGGUCCAGACUCCUACGGGAGGCAGCAGUGGGGAAUAUUGCACAAUGGGCGCAAGCCUGAUGCAGCCAUGCCGCGUGUAUGAAGAAGGCCCUAGGGUUGUAAAGGACUUUCAGUCGGGAGGCGUUACCGACAGAAGAAGCACCGGCUAACUCCGUGCCAGCAGCCGCGGUAAUAC